rnacentral:rRNA from 1 species
GACGAACGCUGGCGGCGUGCUUAACACAUGCAAGUCGAGCGGGGAUAUUGAGGAAGCUUGCUUCUGAGAUAUUCUAGCGGCGGACGGGUGAGUAACGCGUGAGCAACCUUUCCUCUACUGGGGAAUAACACAGGGAAACUUGUACUAAUACCGCAUGAGACCACAGAGCUGGGCAUCUGGUUGGGGUGAAAGAUUUAUCGACUGAAAGAUGGCCUCGCGUCUGAUUAGCUAGUUGGUGAGGUAACGGCCCACCAAGGCGACGAUCAGUAGCCGGACUGAGAGGUUGACCGGCCACAUUGGGACUGGAGAUACGGCCCAGACUCCUACGGAGGCAGCAGUGGGGAAUAUUGGGCAAUGGACGCAA